AUUGAACGCUGGUGGCAGGCCUAACACAUGCAAGUCGCACGAGUGGCGGACGGGUGAGUAAUGUCUGGGAAACUGCCCGAUGGCGGGGGAUAACUACUGGAAACGGUCGCUAAUACCGCAUACCAUCGGAUGUGCACAGAUUGGAUUAGCUAGUAGGUGGGGUAACGGCUGACAUAGGCGACGAUCCCUAGCUGGUCUGAGAGGAUGACCAGCCACACUGGAAAUGAGACACGGUCCGGACGCCUACGGGAGGCAGAAGUUGGGAAUAUUGAACAAUGCGCGCAAGCCUGAUGAAGCCAUGCCGCGUGUAUGAAGAAGGCCUUCGGGUUGUAAAGUACUUUCCGCGAGGAGGCGUUACUCGCAGAAGAAGCACCGGCUAACUCCGUGCCAGCAGCCGCGGUAAUAC
rnacentral:rRNA from 1 species